UACGAAGGGGGCUAGCGUUGUUCGGAAUUACUGGGCGUAAAGCGCACGUAGGCGGAUAUUUAAGUCAGGGGUGAAAUCCCGGGGCUCAACCCCGGAACUGCCUUUGAUACUGGGUAUCUUGAGUCCGAGAGAGGUGAGUGGAAUUCCGAGUGUAGAGGUGAAAUUCGUAGAUAUUCGGAGGAACACCAGUGGCGAAGGCGGCUCACUGGCUCGGUACUGACGCUGAGGUGCGAAAGCGUGGGGAGCAAACAGG
rnacentral:rRNA from 1 species